GUUGAGGGGUUCUGUAUUCUGUAGGUCCUGUUUGCAGCCCUUUUUAAGCCCAUUUCCCUCUGGUUGAGUCACUGCUCUCUCUUUGAUGGUUGUCACAUCAUAAUCUCCAACCUGGAGCUCCAAACGUGGUUUGUCUUUUCCCACAUCAUUCCAUCUUAUGGCUGUAAUUCACAGUGCCAUGUGUUAAUUGCACCCAUGCAGAGUUGUUUAAGGGCAUUCUGGGCAUCAUUAUUGUGUUUUAAAUCAUGUUCUCUCUUCGGAUCUCAGUUUGCGACUCGAUGGGGUUUAAAGAUUGUUGGUGCUCCUCUAAUCGGUGGUGUGAGGCCUGUGGAGCCGGUAAUGGGACAUCACAACUACACUAACUACCCCAUGGUCUACGGUCAUUUCUGUUUCACCAGCAGAUCUGGGUUUGUGUUAAUAAAAAAGAAAGGGUUGUCCUCUUCUGGAUGACUACAGUCAGGAUCUCCAGAUAUCUCAUCCCAAUUGUCAGGAGAUGCUAUUUGUUUCCUAAUCUGUAUGAUACCCAAACCCCCACACCUUUUCCUCCCAUCCCCUGACCCCCAUUAAGUAACUUAUAAACAGCAUUAAUUAUAUCCCUAAUAGUCCCUUGCGUCAUUCUAUAGAGCAAUGCACGCAGGGUGCAGCCCUACAUAUGCGGGGCAGCGCCUUCAUUACUGCAUUGUGUCCAACAGGUGGCAGCAGAGAGCUGCAGCGCUCCCGAGUGCUGUAAGGACUGCACGGAGAGAUGUGCGGGUCUUCACGGGAACAGCCAGGAACCGAAAGCUGCAUUUCCCGGGAUGCCCUGGAGCUCCACUUUGCUGACUGGUAAUUGUCUGCCCAGCAGGUAAGGACAAUCCACUCCCACCAGUGUUUACCCCUUACUGAGUGAGACACAAGGUAGGGUUCCCAGAGCUCCUUUCUGCACUUCAGGGUUCCCCGAAGGCUGCCCGUCCUAUUCUUUGCACGUUCUCCUUGGCUCUGGCCUUUCACUGCGGUGUUCUCCUUCCCUUUGCCCUUGGCGUUCCUUACUGCAUUCUCUUGUCCUCUUGCUUUUGCAUUCCUUGUCAUGUUCUCUUGGCCAUUGCCCUUGACUUUCUUGGCCACAUUCACUUCAACAUUCAGUUUUGGCGUUCCCUGCAGUGCUCUCUUGCCCUUCUGUUUUCGUGUUUCUUGUCGUGUUCUCUUGGCCAUUUCCUUGGCAUUUCCUUCCACAUUCUCUUGGCCCUUACCUAGGCGUUCCCUUGCCCUCCUGUUCUUGCGUUCCAUGCCACAUUCUCUUGACUAUUGAACUUCUUUUUCUUCUGCCACGUUCUCUUCAGCAUUCAGUUUUGGCGUUCCCUGCAGUGUUCUCUUGCCCUCCUGUUUUGGCGUUCCCUGCAGCGUUCUCUUUGGCCAUUACUUCUGGUGUUCCAUGCAGUGUUCUAUUUGGCCUUAGGUUUUUGCCAUCCAUGCCACGUUCUCCUGGUCAUUGCGCUUGGCCUUCUUUGCCACAUUCUCUUUGGCGUUGCCUUCCAUGUUCUCUUUGACCUUUGCCCUUGGCCUUCUUUGCCGUGUUCCUUUCAGCCUCCUGGCAUUCUCUGCGACAAUCUCUUUGGCCUUUGGUUUUGGCAUUCCUUGUUGCGUUCUGUUUGGCCUUUGCCUUUGGCCUUCUUGUUUUGGCAUUCCCUACUGUGUUCUCUUCGGUCUUUGGUUUUGGCCUUCUGUGCUGCAUUCUCUUUGGCCAUUGCUAUUGGCCUCCUGCAUCGGCCUUCCCUGCAGCGUUCUCAUGGACCUCGCCCUCCAUUUUGGCCUUGCCACGGUGUUCUCUUUGGUCUCUGUUUUGUUCUCUGAGGCCCUCUCUUUGGGCCUGCCCUCUGAAGGAGGUCUUUUCUUUGGUGUUCUCCAUACCUUUGCUUUCCCUGUGCCUUUGACGUUGCCUUCCCUUGGGUGUUGUCUCUGCCUUUGCCCUCGGUUUUGGUGUUUCCUUGGGUGUUGUUGCCUUUGCCUUGGCCUUCCCUAACAGUCCCUUUGAGCAUAACCCUAAUAAAGCUAACCCCAAUACCUUCACCCCAACCCUAAUGAGCUCUGAACUCCAAACAUAGUGCUAAUCUGAUGCAAUGCCCUCAGCAAACUUACCAAAGGUGCACUCCAUGCCCUCAGGCAGGUCUUCAAUGAAGAUAUUGGACAGAACAGGCCUGAAGAGCACUCAGGAUGGCAUACCAGCUGCUUUUAACACAAUGGAGCAGCACUCAUUAGGCCAGCCGGUUCAGCUACUUCUUCAUCUAGCAAGCAAUGUACCCGUCCAAGUAGCCGGCUGCAAUCUUUGAGAGAAUUUCAAGGGAUAGCACAUCCAAGGCUUUGCCUCAAUCAUGGGGUUGGGUCACUGCUUUGAGUGUGCUAGCGUGGCUGACCAUAAUCCUGUAACUGACAUCCUGUAGCUGGACAGAGACCAUUUGCACUCCAUCCAGGCUGUUUGAGACUCACGGCCAUGCUGAGAGUCACACUGAUUUCAGCGUGUGCAGUCAUUUUGCAUCAACCCAAUUGGCUUUAGCUUUACAAAUAAUUUGUCUCAACCAAAUUGGCUUUAGCUUUGCAGUUAAUGCAUUGCAAAUAAGUUGGCUUUAGCUUUGCCUUGCUUACGGGGUUGGGUUAGCUUUGCUUUGUUUGUUUGUACCGCAGGGCUAACCCAACCCCGUAACCAACGCCCGAGGCCAUCGGAGCCCAUUUGCGCUCCUUCCCGGCCAGUCUGAGACUCGCGCCCCUUUGUGGCCAUUCUGAGAGUUGCGCCGAUUUUGGCAGGUGCAGUCAAUUGAUCUUGCCCAAAUUGGCUUUAGCUUUGCAAUCAAUUGAUCUUGCCCAAAUUGGCUUUAGCUUUGCAAACAAUUGAUCUCAGCCAAAUUGCCUUUAGCUUUGCCUUGCUUACGGGGUUGGGUUAGCUUUGCUUUGUUUGUUUGUACCGCAGGGCUAACCCAACCCCGUAACCAACGCCCGAGGCCAUCGGAGCCCAUUUGCGCUCCUUCCCGGCCAGUCUGAGACUCGCGCCCCUUUGUGGCCAUUCUGAGAGUUGCGCCGAUUUUGGCAGGUGCAGUCAAUUGAUCUUGCCCAAAUUGGCUUUAGCUUUGCAAUCAAUUGAUCUUGCCCAAAUUGGCUUUAGCUUUGCAAUCAAUUGAUCUCAGCCAAAUUGCCUUAGCUUUGCCUUGCUUACGGGGUUGGGUUAGCUUUGCUUUGUUUGUUUGUACCGCAGGGCUAACCCUAACCCCGUAACCAACUGCCUGAGGCCAUCGGAGCCCAUUUUUGCUUUUUCCUGGCUUGUCUGAGGCUUGCAUUUACUUCAGGUGGGCUGAGAUCUGCUCUACUGUUGAGGUGGGUUGCAGUACAAAAUAUUAGUGUAAAUGUAAUGUUAUUUAUUGGAUGUGGAGGCUUUGUGACCUUUGUCUUGUGAGUCUGACAUAUAACACAUAUGUAAACCAUACCUUAAAAUGUAUGGAGUACGUGGGUGCUGCGUCUGUAAACGGUGUCUUGGAAUUGUAUGGAAUCAGUGUACCUAUGUUUUGUUUGUCAACAUGUAGGCAUUGCUGUAGUGUGCAUACAAUUGUAUGAGUCACAUCUUGAGGAAACAGUGCUGUAAUAAACAAAUACUUGUGCAAUCUAACUCAGUGGUGUGCCUUGCCUCAUCAUUACCAGGACACAGAUCCCACUUGAAGCUAAGUGCAACAGGUAGGUGUGCAGGUAAGGCUUAGGGUUAGUCAUUUAGACAUUUAGGGUUGGACUUAGACAUUUAGGGUUGGACUUAGACAUUUAGGGUUGGACUUAGACAUUUAGGGUUGGACUUAGACGUUAGGGGUAGGGUAGGGUUAGGGUUAGGGUUAGGGUUAGGGUUAGGGUUAGGGUUAGGGUUAGGGUUAGGGUUAGGGUUAGGGUUAGGGUUAGGGUUAG
ensembl:lncRNA